UCUCUGCUCAUGCUCACAAGGGCCUGAUCUGGGUAAUUCCCCACCAUUCUCAUCCUGCCAUGGGCACCCGAGCCCUCUGCUCUAUGGUCCUUUGUCUCCUGGGGGUAGGAACCACAGAUGCUAAUCUAGGAGUCACCCAGACCCCUAGGCAUGAGGUGACAGAAAAGGGACAGGAAGUCACUCUGAGUUGUGAGCCGAUUAAAAGCCACACUGCCCUUUAUUGGUACAGACAGACCUCGGUGCGGGGACUGGAGUUACUGGCUUACUUCCGCAAUGAAGCUCCUAUCGACGAGUCGGGGAUGCCCAAGGACCGAUUCUCAGCUAAAAUGCCUAACGUGUCGUUCUCCACUCUGAAGAUCCAGCCCACAGAUCCUGGGGACUCGGCCACGUACCUCUGUGCCAGCAGCAAAGACACAGUGCUGCAGAGUCGCCCCGUCCCGAGCAGAAAACCUCUGCUUCCGCUUCCGGUUCUGCCCCCAGCCCUCUAAGUCAUCCCUACUUCUCUUUCACCAAGAGAAGUGAGUGGGUUUGGGGCUUAACAAGAACAGAAAAUAAGGUUAUCAACAUAGACGAUCUUGUAUAGGAAAUCCUGUAGGAAUGGGAUUCAGGGAUUGCUCGGAAAUUGUCAAUGGGCUCAAAAUUCAUCCCACAUAUACGAUAAGCCUUAAUUACUCAGAUCAUAGAAUUUCCUGCCUUCCUGCACUUGCCACCCCCAUCUGAAUGGAAGAAGCUCCAGAUAAUGGCUGUUCAGCAUUCUCCAUUCUUUUUCAACUCUAAGUUGUUAACAGAAUCCUGCCCCACCCCAACACAA